UUAACUCGUUAAGGUCUCUCACUCUUUCAUCUCUCACUCCAUUGCUCUCGCUAUCCGUCUGCUCUCACUCCACUAGUCCUCCAUUUGCUGCUCUCACUGCCUAGGUCUCAUCUCACUCACCAGCAACCGAGCAAUGAGCAUGCACUUCUCCAGGCAGGGACUGCGAUGGCCAGUGUGAGUUUUGCUCCGUCGAGUUCCAUUUGAGGUUCAAAUGUAUCGAUGAUCAAACCCUAGAUGUCACCAGCAAGGACCUUUACAGCUCCAACCACACCAUUGUUCUGGUUGAUUUCUCUGAUUCCAGCUCUGGUUUUGACAAUUCCGAACAGAGGUCCUCAAUUUCUUAUUCUUCUGAUACAAGCAAAGGUGUAAUUUUUUUAGUUCCUAUGAGCUACUAGCGGGGAUGGGAAGAAGGCGAAGGCCUUGGGAAAGAGAAGCAAGGGAUCAAUGGAUAUGUCAGAGUUAAGAACAAACAGGACAUUGCAGCUUCUUUUUUUUCUGUUGUUGCUCUUCGUUUCUCUGAUUUUUUGUUUAUUCAUCAAAUUCAUGCUCUGUUUUGUUGCCUAGAACAUAAAGUUUAUUUAUUUUAAUUGUCUUCUGAAUCAAAGGAGCUAAUAAGCUUAACCUUGUUGUGGGAUGAGUUUUUCAUACAUAAGGAGUUCAUGACAUUUGACAGUUCAAUAGGUACUGGGACAUAAUUGUUCAAAAUUACAAUAGGUAUUGGUGCAGAUGAGGGCAUUUGAUACAUCACAGUUUGACAGCAUCCUCAAGAGAUUGAAAGUAAAGCUGCAGAAAUCAAGGAUAAAGCUGUUGAAAAGGAUGAUGUUCAAGAGGUUGAUACCGAUGUCACCUUAGAGACUAAUACAGUUGUCAAGUCUACUCAACCCUAAGGAAGGUAUAAGAAAAGAGAGGGAAACUUGUCUGUGCAUAUUCUUCUGAGGAUCUUGGAGGAAUACUUGUGAGUUACUAAGCUUGGUAACUUAGGUCCCCAAGUUUUUUCGCAUAGAGUUGAUUGAAACAGGGAUUGUGAGGGUAGGGGUUUGAAUUCAGUUCCUUGGAAAAUGGGGGUUAUGUCUAGGCGGGUUUUACCCAUUUGUGGUAAAGUCUGUUUCUUCUAUCCUUCCCUGCGGGCAAGGUCGAGACAGCCUGUGAAGUGGUACAAAAAUCUUUUUGCUGAUAUCUUCCCUCGGUCUCAGGUGUUUUAGAUGCCUUAUUGCAAUCAGAACCCUGGUUCAUUCAAUUAAGAGAUGAAGGAAGGACUCCACUUCACUUGAUUGCAUGAUUGGGCUAUCU